rnacentral:lncRNA from 1 species
GCUCAGAUGACACAGGGAUACCAGCACAUUUGGAGCCUCCCGGUGGCCCCGUUCUCCGACAGCGCGUACCAUUUCCGGGUAGCUGCACCAGAUUUAGCCGACUGUUCGACAGACCCUUUUUUCGCUGGGAUUUUCUUCACAGAUUACUUUUUUUAUUUCUAUCGACGUUGUAACUAAUUUAUUCAAGUUUGAGGGCGUUACCAAAGGAAAGCACUGAGAGACACAGUUAACAGAAGCUGGUAUUUCCUCUCACAACUUUGUUUACUUCUCUGUCAAGCGAGCACAUCGUUUUCUGAAGGACCCUUUCAGGUUUGGCCUCCAACGGCUUCUAAUGAGGAGAAUAAAGUGUUUGCCAGGGACUGAGAAA